rnacentral:lncRNA from 1 species
CCCUUGCACGUAGGGCUGCCAGCAGCUUUGCCCUGCCCAUGGGAGGGCUGCCUUCUAGAGGUGCCCUGGCGUAUGGUCAGUGCUGUGCUUGUGCCUUGGUGCUUGCUGCUGCUCAGCAGUGCUUUGGUGGAGUGAGGGUGGGCAUCUGGGCUGCGGGAAGCCCGCAGACUGUGUUUCUGGGCAGUUAUUCUCCCAUCUGAAACGGAGCAGGUGGUUUUCUCCCGUGCUAAGGCUGCAUCCCAGGCACGGGGCUCUGGUCCUGCUUGUUUUCCCUCUGCUCAGAGUCUGACGUGCUGCAGGAGCGGUGUUUCGCAGCUUGCUCCAGUUGGCGUGUUUCCCAGAAUGCUUUGGAAAAGCACUGACCCCUGACCCCCAGUACAAACUGAGCCCAGCACGUGGGAGGGAGAAAUUACUCCCAGACCUUCAGGCUCCAGGGUUUACAAGCUGCCUGCAAUAAAGCAGCCAUUUUUUCCGACAGUUACUAAAUCUCCCUUUUAGCUCCACGGCGAACCUCUACCGUCACUCCCCUCCCCAGCCCCCAGUCCUCUUCUUUCUCUCUUCCUUCGCACCAGGAGUGCUGCUGAAGGAGCACGGAUGGGUGCUCAGCGCAGGGCAGUGCUGGUGGCGGUGGGUCCCAUCCUUGGCGGCUGUGCUGUCCGCCUGCCCCAUUCCCACUGAUGCUGCACUCUGUGCCGGCCUCCUGCAGCCCCUCAGAGCCGCCCUGCACCUGCUGUCCCGUGUGUGCACAUCUGCAGCUCUGGGUCGAGGAGGACGACCCUCGUGCAGAGCGACUGGCGGGUGAGCACGUUCCGGUGUGAAGAAGUGAUGCUGUCUCCGUGCUGAGGAGCAGAAGUGCAAAGGUUCUCCUCGUGGCUUCUGAGCCUCGAUGUUGAUGCCUUGAUAAGAGCCCAGGUUUGAGCUCUGUGUGCCAUCGGCUCCUUAGGUAACUCACACAGGGAUUAGUCUCCAGGGAGGCCGGCCAGUUUCUAGGGGAGAUGGCUGCGUGGGAGGCUCACGAGGCUUCGCCAGAUCAUGCUUGUAAUGCCUGCUGCAAUGUGGAGCGCCAAGUGCUGCUCGUUCACACGGGCUUUCGUGGCGGUCCGGUUGUGCUCAGAGCCGUGUGCUGAGCGUGUCAUUGUGCUGCACCGCAAAGGGAGUGGGGAGCGUGCAAGUGUUUGCACAGCGCUUCGGGAACGGCGAGCGCUCACUGCAAGUGGCUGCCAUGCCACGGGCACUGUGGGAUCCAGAUAAAUAACAUCACAGUUAGUGUUUCAAAACAACCUCUUCCCCACUCCUCCCAGCCCUGCGCACAUUCCUCCAGCAGGGAGCAGGCGGAGGUGGGGAAGUGCCUGCAGACAGCGGGGAGGGCAGCGAGCAGCUGCCCUGGGCUGGGGGUGGUGCUGGUGGCGGCGGGCACCUGCUGCAGGCAUGGGCAGAACGAAGCCCUGAGCUACGCGUGGCUCUGUGCUGAGCUGCUGGCCAAAGUGACGGAGGAGCCAUUUUCUUAAAUAAGCACCGGGCUGCUGUAGGAUCACGCAUCAGAAGAGCACAUUCGUCUGAAUCCCCUUCUCUCCCCUCUCGGAGUGCUCCGUUUUGUUUUUACAUCUCUAUGGCAGGCGACCAAGCUGGCUGAGUCAGUCGGCUGGCUGGCCACCAGGAGCAGAGAUGUGGUUUUGUCCCCUCC